CCUACGGGAGGCAGCAGCCGCGGUAAUAUUGCACAAUGGGCGCAAGCCUGAUGCAGCAACGCCGCGUGAGUGAUGAAGGCUUUCGGGUCGUAAAACUCUGUCCUCAGGGAAGAAUAAUGACGGUACCUGAGGAGGAAGCCCCGGCUAACUACGUGCCAGCAGCCGCGGUAAU
rnacentral:rRNA from 1 species